rnacentral:rRNA from 1 species
UACGAAGGGGGCUAGCGUUGCUCGGAAUCACUGGGCGUAAAGCGCACGUAGGCGGAUUGCUAAGUCAGGGGGUGAAAUCCUGGAGCUCAACUCCAGAACUGCCUUUGAUACUGGUGAUCUUGAGUCCGGGAGAGGUGAGUGGAACUGCGAGUGUAGAGGUGAAAUUCGUAGAUAUUCGCAAGAACACCAGUGGCGAAGGC